UCUGGGAAGUAGCCUGCAUGUCUUAAACCAGUGGUUUUGUUAUACUGUGUUUCAUAGGAAGAACGACAAUUUACAUCACAUUCCAGUAUACACAGACAUAGAAACAAAGAUUUUAUGAAAUAUUUGGAAGGAAUAAUUUCUUUAAACACUUUUCUCUAUUAAUGUGAGAUGUACUCUAUUCUCAAGUUUAAUCUGUUCCCUUAAAAUUGUGCUGAUUGUGACCCUCAUGCGUCAUGACCUGUGAAUGGAAGAUGCUAGAAGUUCUAGAAGGGCCCACAUCUCAGAAUUCCCCUCCCUCAUGCCUGCUGUCCUUUCCCUGCCUUUGGUUCCAGCCAAUGUAAAUAUAUUCUGAAGAAAUUUCUGAAGGGACUGCUGAGGUUUCCACAUUCAUCCUGUGGCACCGACCCUGCCUCUCCACCAUCCAAGCAGUCCCUGGGUUCUGCCCAGGUGGCCCGAGUAAAGGAAGGAGGGCUGCUCAGCUCCCUGGUUGGAGGAAGAGGAAAAUAGAAUUAAGAGACGGGGAGCCACCUUGACAGUUCCUUCUGAGGUGGGGUUUCUUAACAAGAGGCAAAGAAAAUUCAUGAUGGAAUUAAACAAAAAAUUAAGGGAAGAAGAAAAAAGGAAGACAUCUCCAAAUGUUUGGAGAUCAAGCAGUAUGGUUCGAAUUCCUAAGUAAUACAUGGAUGGACGAAGAAAUCUCAUGGAAAUUAGAAAACAUCUUGAACCAAAUGAUAAUGAAAGUAUGACAGAUCAAAACCGUGGGACGCUGUGAAAACUGAACCCAGAGGGAAAUUUAAAGAGCGUGUCCUACUUGAGCUGCAAAUAAUUUAGGUGACAGUGUGCAUAAAAUUGAAUGCCAUGCUGCCUCUUGAAAUCACAUUGCUAGUGCUUCCAGUGGUUCAUUUUCCGUGUGCCUAAACUAUGUUGGUUACAUUAGAGACUGUAUUAAAAAUGGCAUGCUGGCUUUUGAGAAUGUAAUCUUUUCCUUCCCUUAAACAUGGUCGAUUGGUAUAUUCGGGAUGAGUCUAACACCAUCUUUUGAUCAACAGUUUACCCCAUUAUAAUCUGGGAUGAAGAUCCUUGUCAGUGCCUGUA